UGUUUUCAAAUCAGAAGAGCU
rnacentral:piRNA from 1 species